rnacentral:lncRNA from 1 species
AGAAAUAGCAAAAAAAAAAAAAAAAAAAUGAAGUUAGGUAGACAGAGAAGGGAAAGCAGAAGGUCUCACUCUGCAAAAGUGUUCAGAUCAGGUUAUUAUCAAAAAAAAAAAAAAAAAACAAAAAACUCUGAAAUAGUGUCCUCCCCAGAGAGCUGUCAUUACCAGCAGCCAGAUCCUCACUUCUCUGGAGGGUACCUGAUGGAGGAAGGGGUGGGAACCGUGUGGAGGAAGGCAAACACCUCCUCUGUCCCCCGUCCUCAACUUACCUCUGUAAUCAUCAAGAAAAGGAUCAGGGGCUGGCGUGGGGACUGACCCACAGGAAGCUGACAACAUCUGACCCCUCUGAACAUUUAACACGCAAAAACACUUCCCCAGUGGUUUAACAGAAUGAAACUCCAGGAAAAGAGAAUCACUCUCGUGGUUCAGAGUUAUUCAAGCAGUGUUGCGGGAUUGCAAGAUAAUGCAGUAAUGCUCAUUUUUAGGGUGAAACGUCUAGGAAAUAAACAUAGGCAGCGUCGUCUAAGUGAAUGCAAAGGUAAUACACACCGCAUCUCCCACUACUCUCUUUGCCCCUCUAUUCAGGAGAUACUGUUGUUACUUGAGUCUGGCUCAGUCCAGGAUAGAGGCACACAUUCAUGUGGCAGUUGGGAAUGUAACUGUAACAUUUUAUUUUAUUUUAUUUUAUUUUAUUUUUAUUUUUUGGCCACGCCCACCACAUGGCACAAUUCCAGGGCCAGGGAUUGAACCCGCAUCACAGCAGCGACCCGAGCCACAGCAGUGAAUAACACCAUAACCGCUAAGCCACCAGGGAACCCCCUUACUGUGUCAUUUGAAUAUGCUGCUCCCUUUCACUUGACAGUGAGUUUCACUGAGGACCAUCUUGGAAGCACCGCUGGGCUGCUAAAUAAAUAACACCCUGGGCCGGCAGAACCUAUAGACAGUGGGUCCCAGAAGCUCAUAAAUCCACUCCCCCAGGGGCACAGCCCUGCAGUCUCUCCAUCUUUAUUUCUGACUGACCCAGAUGAGGCGUCACCUGAGUGGCUGUUUCAUCUGAUUUGAAGUUAUGUCACCCUAAAGCAGGGAGAAUUUCCUCACAGUCAGCCUCUCAUUUUUAAUCAGAGCUGCGGCAGGAAAGCCUGUCGGCACAGCUCAAAGAAGGGCGCCUGGUCCUGUGAUGAAGCAGAUGGAGAGAUGAAGGCAGGUCUGCAAGAGGGCAUCUGAUGGGCUGCCCUGGCGCCCAGGGAGGGGCUCUGUUGAGUCUCCUCCUUCCCACCCACCCUGCUGCAUCUUUUGCACUUCAAGCAUCCCUGAGACUCUUGCUGGGGUCAAGCCGGCCCUCGGCUCGGGGUCCUGGAGCUCUUAUCUCUGGGGCAGAUGGGGCAGAUGGGGCAAAGACACCACCGUGGAGGGGGGAUCAGAACAGACAGAACAUGGUACCAUCUCCAGCCAGACCAGGGGGCUCGAUGCCAAGAAACUAGAGAAGAGGUAACUGGGUGAGAAGGAGGAAGAGAAAGAGAGUGAGAGGGAUGGAGGAAGAGGGACAUAGAGGGAGAGGGGAAAUUAAAAACAGACCCUGGACUGAAGGGUUCCUGCAGCCUUCAGGGAGAGCGCUAAUGGGGAAAAUAGUGCAGGAAAGCGCAGCUGAGCCAUGUUAGGCAGCCCUGCUCCCCUGAGAUGCCCCUGCUUCAGCCUGUGACCACACACACACACACACACACACGCGCGCGCGCACAGACAUAGAGACAUGCACAUGCACACACACACAGGCAUGAUCACGGGGCAGAGGAGCCUUUAUAUGCCCGGGAGGGUUUUAACUGGCUGGUUGUCCAGCAGAAAGGGAGAGUAUGAACAUGAGUCUGGUGAGACUUUGGGCUCUGACCUUGGCUGACUCCCAUUGGGCAUCUCAAGAUCAUCUCAGGAGCCUCCAGGAAGGGAUGAAGCAUGCAGGGGCUUUAUUAAGGAAAUUCCUGUGAACAGGGGGAGCUGGGGGGCUGGGAGGCAGAGGAGGUUGUGGGGAAGUGUCCUCCAGCUCAGCUGCAUCCUGGGGCAGGUUCUGCAGCACCAUCAGGGCAUCGCCGAGCCAAAGCCGGCCCCCAAGGGUGUCCCACGUCCCCUGGGGACAGGCCUGCCUUAGUGUUCCCACCAGUGUGGCCAUGGAUCCUGCCACCCCAUGGUCAGUGGGCGAGGUGGGUUGGGGGCCACAGGCCGAGUGUGUGGCCCCAGGGCCAAUGGAAGUAGACUGAGCCCCAGGGCAGAAGCAGUGACCUACUCCCUUCUGUACUGAUUUGAAACAGAAAAUCAACCAUUUGCUCAAGAAAGGGGUUCACUUAAAAGAUGUUAAUUAAAUUUACUCAAAUAAGCAAUUGCUGACAAGGUGUUUUUUUCCCUCUGAAUUCAGAGAGUUUCUCUGCACAGCCAGCUGGGCAGCACACAGGCCGCUGUUAACAGCACUGAGAGAUGCCAGGACUGUCAGCUGAAUCAGGGACAUUGGGCUUGGAGCUGCGGAGGCCUCUGUGGGUGGCGAGGGGGAGCUUUAAACAUCGCACAGGGUUGUAGCAUCAUUUUGUUUUAGGGUCUUCAGAAAUCAGGUUUGAGUGGUCUGGGGUUUCAGAUCAGUUGACCCUGUCUGAGGCUAGGGGUUGAAUUGGAGCUGUAGCUGCCCAUCUCUGCCACAGCAAUGCCAGAUCCGAGCCGCAUCUGCCACCUAUGCUGCAGCUCAUGGCGAUGCCGGUUCCUUUAACCCACUGAGAGAGACCAGGGAUCGAACCCACAUCCUCAUGGAUCCUAGUCAGGUUCUUAACCCGCUGAGCCAAGAUGAGGGAUAUUGAUGGAAACUUUGAGGUAUGAUCAAACCAACAGAUUAGGAGAUGACUGCCAUUGAAAACAUAGUUUGUUCCUCACAGUUCCCCAGAGAAGGGGCCAUGGCAGGCCUGGCAGGACCACAGGGGCAGCACCAGGUGGGUCUGCAGUCUGACAGUGAGGGAGGAUGGAUGGACGUAGCCUUGACUGUGGUCUCCAUGGGUAGGAACAGAAGAGGCAGGGUGACCAGGAUCAGGGUUGUCUAGUUUGGUUAGUUUCAGCAGGCUCUGGGGCAUGGCGGCUGUCCCUGGUCAUCGGGCCCUGGGUUCCAGAUUAGGGCAGGUAGGUAAUGGCCUGGAGGGUGAGAGCCACGUAAAGGAAGUGGCGUGCCUUGUGGGCUCUGGUUUGAUUGGUUUGCAUUUGAAAAGCUCACUCAUCAUUUACUAUUUAUCCCUCAUGUGUUGACUCUAAGUAUUGGGGGGACCCUGAGAGACACACUGUCCCUUUGGGGCCAGCCAGGCCCUAGAUGGCAGACCAUUAAAAUUGAGGAAGUCAAAGAUGUGACUUAUGCCCAACUCCAAGCUGAAAUUCAAGUGGUUUAUCAAGCAAGAUGAGUAAUGGCUGAGAGCUGCAUUUGUGUUCACAGAAACACAAAUUGUCAUGGGCAUUAAAACCGAGAAAUCACAGAACUUUAUUCUCCCAUGGAAUUUGGCAAACCUGGUGUUUAUCAGCCCGUGCUGGUCACUUGAGCAAGAGGCUCAGGCAGCUCAGCAAGCUUUGAGGGAGUGGGGACAGCGCAGGGUUGAGCUCCAGGGCACGGGGAGUGGGGAGCCAAAGAGAAAACAUUUUCCAGGUGGCCUCCGUGCAAGAAAGUAUACGCUGUGGGAAUAACAUUUCAGUUGCUGGAUGGGAUGAGAGUGUUGGGGAACUCCCCCUGUACUGUUAGCAUCGGUGAUGAAUGACCUGCUGGGGGAAGACGGUGGCAUUUACUUAGAAAGCGGGGAGGAUGGCUGAGCAUGGUCCCUACGGUAUAACCCCAUGUACACCGUGGUCCCUCUCUGCACACCUUUAACGGGUUAUGUGGCAAUUUGUUCUUGGCUCAUUACAGAAUGAAGGGAUUUUACAGUCUUAUAGCUCUUUCCCUCUUUUCUUAGAAAGAAUGGAACUUAUGGCUAAUUAGAGUCACGCGUGCAGGGAAUCCAAUGCACUGACUGCACACCUGGAGGGAAGGGACCCUUCCCUUCUUGCCGACAGCUUGCAGUGAUUCCAUUUCUUGCUCUGGUAGCUGCAUCGAGAGGUACCUCUUUCUCAGUGUUGCUGCUUGCUCUGGGGUACUUAGCACAUCCUUCCACAAAUGCUUUUUUUUUUUUUUUUGCUUUUUAGAGCUGCACCUGCAGCAUAUGGAAGGUCUCAGGCUAGGAAGCCAAUUGGAUCUACAGCUGUCAGCCUACACCGCAGCCACAGCAAUGCCAGAUCCAAGCCACAUCUGCGAGCUACACCACAGCUCAUGGCAACGCCAGCUCCUUAACCCACUGAGCAAGGCUAGGGAUCAAAUCCAGGUCCUCGUGGAUACUAGUCAGGUUCCUUACCACUGAGUCAUGAUGGGAACUUCCCACAGGUGCUUUUUACCCCUGGGUUGGAUUUUGCCAAAUGACUGUAAGAUGCUGCCCUCUCUGUUUUGGGGCAGCAGUCCAUAACAAAAAGAGAACGGGUUUUCCAAGCCAAACAAAUCAAGGUUUAUAUCUGGGCAGAGCUGCUUACCAGCUGGACACAUCUGGGCCAGUUCCUCACCUUCCCAGAACCCGACUGUCCUCUGUGACAGGAGCACCCACACCAGCUGCCUUGCAGCCUCUCUGGAGGUCAGAGCGUGCUGCUUGUGAAAGCCUGGCCGUGGGGCAGACUCGUUUUUCAUACUUUUAUAUAUUUCUACACCAAGCAACGUGAAAGUAUUUGAUUAAAAAAAGACAUCUAUUGUCACCAUUUAUUUUCCAUAUUAUAGCAGUGAGGACAAUUUCAAGGAUAAGUAUUUUACACGGAGCUCCAUCUGCCCACUAAAAAUGUUAGAAUCAAAAGCACGUGGGGGGAGCUCCUGUCGUGGUGCAGCAGAAAUGAAUCUGACUAGUAUUGGAGGUUGCGGGUUCAAUCCCAGGCCUUGCUCAGUGGGUUAAGGAUCCGGCAUUGCCGUGAGCUGUGGUGUAGGUCGCAGAUGUGGCUCAGACCUGGCCUUGCUGUGGCUGUGGUGUAGGCUGGCAGCUGUAGCUCCGAUUUGACCCCUAGCCUGGGAACCUCCAUAUGCC